rnacentral:rRNA from 1 species
GAUGAACGCUGGCGGCGUGCCUAAUACAUGCAAGUCGAGCGAACAGACGAGGAGCUUGCUCCUCUGACGUUAGCGGCGGACGGGUGAGUAACACGUGGAUAACCUACCUAUAAGACUGGGAUAACUUCGGGAAACCGGAGCUAAUACCGGAUAAUAUAUUGAACCGCAUGGUUCAAUAGUGAAAGACGGUUUUGCUGUCACUUAUAGAUGGAUCCGCGCCGCAUUAGCUAGUUGGUAAGGUAACGGCUUACCAAGGCAACGAUGCGUAGCCGACCUGAGAGGGUGAUCGGCCACACUGGAACUGAGACACGGUCCAGACUCCUACGGGAGGCAGCAGUAGGGAAUCUUCCGCAAUGGGCGAAAGCCUGACGGAGCAACGCCGCGUGAGUGAUGAAGGUCUUCGGAUCGUAAAACUCUGUUACUAGGGAAGAACAAAUGUGUAAGUAACUAUGCACGUCUUGACGGUACCUAAUCAGAAAGCCACGGCUAACUAUGUG